CAAAGCUACGACAAGUGGACAGACUCUUUUAAACGUAUUUACGGAGGGGUAUGAAGCUGGACUUGAAGCAACGACCUCACUUGUUUACUGCUAUGACUUUGUUGGAUAAAUGUGGAUAAAAAAGGAGGCACCUCACGAGUGGAAUGAAGCAAUUCGCUGUGUGUUUCCAUCAACAACAGCUCAGAAGCAGACCUGGACCUUUACCUGACCCUGACCAGCUCACGUACACUGCAAAAACUGAAAUCUAAAGCACCAAAGACAACAAAAUGGAAGUGAAAUCAGGCAUCAUAAAAAGCUCAGUGGAGAAAUCAACAUUGGCUGCAUGCCUGGUCAAAGCCGCUUGAACGCCGAGGCCGUCAUCAAGGAUACAGAUGGUGUCCUUCAAGAUGUGAAAGGAUCUUUUACUAUGAAAAGGACGGUGUUAACUAAGCAGCGUAGUGGUCUCAUUAUUAUCACGUUGUCUCUACCUGUCUCGUAACGCCCCUUACAGUUUGCAAGUGGUUCCAGCAAGGCAACCACAGGGUAAAAGUAAUAAGUUGUUCUCUGUUUGGUUAAUUUUUGUACGUAAUAUUUCUAUUUGGGUAUUGUAUAUGUCCUUCAUGCAUUCUGUGUACAGUGUGAGUGAUUUAUGAGUUAACGUAGGUAUGACUCAGGUAUGAGUUCCGACUUACUUUAAAACCUACCAUACGUCCACAUGAAAAUGUUCGUUUUUCUGUUUUUUUGUCAGGUUGAAAAAAGUGAUGCGUUUACACGGUGUCGGAUCAACAACGAGUCACACCAUGACCGGUAUGUGUCACUGGGUGAAAAUGAUGUAAUACACUGCGUCACCACAAGUGGUGCUGUAGGCAGACACAGAUCACAGUCGUGUAUAGGAGUGUUGCAUAUGACAUCACAUCCGUUUUCUUCUUCGCGGCUUAAUACACAUGAUGGUCAAGCAGCUUGAGUGUAGCGUUAAAAGAAGUGAGUGAGUGUAGAGUUUGAGCAGAAAAUGCCGUAUUGUUGUUCUGUUCUUGGGUGUUCCAAUCGUUCAAACAGAGAGAUAGGAAAGAGCUUUCAUAGAGUCCCGAAGUAAGUUGUGCAUAAAGGUAAUAAAGUCAGGAAAAAUCGAAAGUACGUCAAAGGAAAUUGCUCUGAAAAAUAUCACUUUCAUCAUCUUGUGGAAUACAAUCGGACAUGCUUGUGUCUGCAGCGAUCACUUUGUAAAAAGUUUGUCUGAACAUUUGAUUUGUUUGAGAA